UGCGAUCUCUGCUUCCCAGGUUCAAGUGAUUCUGCUGCCUCAGUCUCCUGAGUAGUCUCAGGUAGUAUCUUUAUAGCAGUGUGAAAAUGGACUAAUACAAUCAUAAAGCAAGAAAGUGACCUCAUGGCAGGAUGCACGGGUGGUUACACAGUUUGUUGGAAAUCCUUGGCCUAGGCCAUCGCUUUGGAUGAGAACUGAUUUCAGCGCAGUUUAAGAGAACUAUUAUUCUAUUCUUGCUGGACACUGGUCUUCAGGGUUCUUCAUCAUGCUGACACAGUUAACAUAAUACAAAGUUGUGUUCUAUAAACAGUAGAUUUAUUCAUGAAACAUACUUGAAAUGGCUACUGCCUCUUAAAAGAGACAUUUCCGUUUCAGCAAAUCAUUGUAAAAAUUGGAAGAAAAUAGAAAAUUAUUUGCUGUACUUCUUUGUUUUAAAUACUCAGAACUAGAGUAAUAAAGAAAUUUAGAAUUUCUUUAAUUAUUAGCAAUUCAACGUUUAUUGAGUUCUAAUACAUAGAGAGCUCAAUUAGAGGUAUUAUCUAAUAUUUCAUAGAAAGUAAAAUGGUAAUCCCUAAAUGAAAAUCCAGUUUUUGUUGUGUGUGCUCAUACUUAAAGACAAUAUUCAAUGUAUUAAGCAGUUUUUUAACAGUGUAAUAAAGUCUCCUUUUUAGAUUUAGCAGUAAAGGGCACUAUACAUAAAACACCCAGCAUUAUGCAACCUGGCAAAAAUAGGAAUAAAAUAAAUUAUAGUAAUUAUUAAUAUUAACAAAAGUAUUACAGCUAAUUUUGUCAUAUUCUUUUGUCUUCAAAAUAGUUAUUAGUGCCUAUAACUAAAAUAAAGAUUUGACUAUGAUGUUUCCACAAAUUUCUUAUUCUUUUAUGUGUCUACAUUUCUUCCUAAUAAGGUAAGCUUCUUUCCUACAAAACAGACUUAACCCUGAAUUUCUGCCUAACCUUAUAGACAAUGUAUUAAUAUAGUCACAGCAUUUUUUCUUGUUUGGCCCUAUAUUAUGAAGUUCAAAUUAUUAACACUAUAUAUUUUCCUUGUUGUUCAUAUGCCAAAUAAUGAUAUGCUAAAAUUAAUAUUUUUGCUUAAAUUGGUGAACUAUACACUAUAUAAAUAUAAAUGUGAGUUAUGGGCAUUUAAUUAUAUGUAACUAUCUGAUUUGAAUUUAAUCUAAAAUUAAAGUAUAAACAUUAUUUUCAUGAUUGGACUUUCAGAUGGAAUUGUUAAAUAUAUUUCUAAAACUAACAUUUUUGACAUAAUCCCUAUUAAUCCUACAGUAGUAUAGCUGUGGAAGCGUAGCAUAAAUGAAAGAAACAUUGGUUUUGAAGUCAAAGUGAGUAUAGACCCUUGCCAUAUUUCCAAAGAAUCUAAGCUGAGUGGAGUAUGACAUGGGCCCUGGGGACAUAAAAGCAGAAUUGUCUUACGCAUCCUGUGAAGAAACGUUAUAACUGCUAAGAGACUUUGAACAUUUAGCUUAAUUUUGGUAAAAUUACAAUUAUAGUGACACCUAUUCUACUUGUUGUGUGGAUCACAUUAGAUAAUAGAUGGGCAAUGCCUUAAAAAUUACAAAGUGUUGGGCCAAUGUUGGUCAUUAUUUGAACCUCUUCCAUGUAAUUUAAAUUGUUUUCAGAUUUCUGGGUUUUUUUUUUUUUUUUAAGUCAUCUAUCUUUGAUGAUAGCACGAAAUACAACGUUGAAGUGUUAAGCUAUAAUUUUAAAAGGGCCCCCAAGUAUGGUAAAAUCCUGACGACUAUAAGAGAGAAGACAAAGAGAAAAUCUCAGGCAGAGUUGGCAGGACACAGAGUUCUUGAAAGUAAAUAUAAACUUCCAAAGUCAAAAUCAAUAACCUAUUGCUUAAAUCAAAUAGAAUGGAUAGGCUGGGUGGUAUCUGAAGCUCCUGAGCUUCCAUUUCAUCGUGUUUUAGAAGGGGAGGCAAGACUGAAUGAGGAAAUGUAACAACGUGGCAUCUUUUCCAGAAAUAAUCCUUUGGCCUGUCAGUGUGGUGGAGGAACUCUCAGUGUAUGAUGGUUCUAAAACUGUCCAUUUUCAUCCAGCAAAAUAAAGAUACAUGUGCAUGUGCAUGUGCGAGCGUGCGCACACACACACACACACCUUUUGUCAUAUUGAUUUUUUUUUCUUGUGAGCUAUGGAGACUUCCAAGAUGCCAGUUGAAAUAAAAUCCCAGCUACUAAAAGCCAAAACACUGAGCAGAGAUAUAUGUACCAUGUACUACAUGGAGAUAGGUGUCACAGUUUGAGUUCAGGCAAGUUAGAGACUAUUAGCAAAAAUUCAACAAUUCUCAGAAGAGGAAAACACAUUGCAGCAUGGUUACAGUGUCUAAUAUUCAACUAAAGUUUAUAAGUCAUACAAAAAAAUUUACAAAAAGAUUAAAGCUGUCAAGAUAAAUUCAUUUGAAGUGGGACUGGGAGUUAAAUAUAACAGUUAUAAAAUUCAAAAUAGUACUACAAAUAUUUUCAAAAAAAUAAACCUUGUUCAAAUAAUUAAAGAAUAAACAUCAUAUUAAUGAGUAAAUAUAUAGUGAUAUCAAUAAAUAAAAAUAAAAAACUGAAAAUUCUGUAUCUAAAAAUUAUAACUAAAAGAAAAACCUGAUGAUAAAUUCAACUGCAGAUUUUAAGUGGCAUAUAAAAAAUUAGUGAGCUUGCAAAUAGAUCUAUAAAAAUUAUUCCCUCUGAUACAUAGAAAGGAAGCAAAUAUAGAAGAAAAUAAAAAUGUUUUGCAACAAUAUCAACUGGUACAGCACACAUGUAAUUAGAGUCCGAGAAGGAGAGGACUGAAAUAAAUGAGAGAAAAAAAAUUAAAUAAAUAAUUGAAUAGAAGUUUCUAAAUUUGUUGACAAACAUAAACUUACAAAUGCAAGAAUCUUUGUGAAACUCAGGUAGAAGGAAAACAGAGAAAAUCAUACUCAGGCACAUCAAAUUCAAACUAAUGAAAACCAGAAAUAAUCAGAAAAUUAGAAAGCAGCAAAAGAAAAUGACAUAUUACAUGUGGCAUAUAUGACAUAUGACAAAUAACAAUAUGAUUAGCAUCAGGACAGAAGAUAUUGGAAUGAUAUAUUUAAAACGCUGAAAGAAAAAAGCCUAUAAUUCAAGAUACCUAUAGUCAGAGAAAUU